rfam:Biomphalaria glabrata isolate BB02 linkage group LG20 unlocalized genomic scaffold LG20_random_Scaffold2874, whole genome shotgun sequence.
UCAAUGGACUUAUUAAAGUCUACAUAAUAAAAAAUAAAAACCAAUU